UUGCAGCCUCGUCUCCCGGCCCCCGGUGGAGCUGAUCACCUGUGGGCGCCGCGAGGCUGCACAGAGUACCUCCGAGGAUGGAAAAAGGCGUGACUCCCAGAGGUUAAGGAGUUCCACGUGCGAUGCUCCUCGGACAAGGCCUCCUGCUUUCCACGGUGGCGAUGGCCUGCGUCAGUGGCUGUUGCUCUUCUUGAAGCAGGCAGAGUAAAACACGGCAGCCGGAUAUUGUUUGAGUCAGGGGGAGCUUUUCCUGUCAAACACUGUCAGCUGCCACAACA
rnacentral:snoRNA from 1 species